rnacentral:rRNA from 1 species
AGUGAACGCUGGCGGUAGGCCUAACACAUGCAAGUCGAACGGCAGCACAGUAAGAGCUUGCUCUUACGGGUGGCGAGUGGCGGACGGGUGAGGAAUACAUCGGAAUCUACUUUUUCGUGGGGGAUAACGUAGGGAAACUUACGCUAAUACCUCAUACGACCUACGGGUGAAAGCAGGGGAUCUUCGGACCUUGCGCGAUUGAAUGAGCCGAUGUCGGAUUAGCUAGUUGGCGGGGUAAAGGCCCACCAAGGCGACGAUCCGUAGCUGGUCUGAGAGGAUGAUCAGCCACACUGGAACUGAGACACGGUCCAGACUCCUACGGGAGGCAGCAGUGGGGAAUAUUGGACAAUGGGCGCAAGCCUGAUCCAGCAACACCGCGUGGGUGAAGAAGGCCUUCGGGUUGUAAAGCCCUUUUGUUAGGAAAGAAAAGCAGCAGGUUAAUACCCCGCUGUUCUGACGGUACCCAAAGAAUAAGCACCGGCUAACUUCGUG